UGCCACAGUGGCACACACCUGUAAACCCAGCAACGGGAGAGGCUAAGGCAAGAGGAUCGCAAGUUCAAGGCCAGCAUCAGCAACUAGCCAGACCCUGUCCUCAGAGAAAGGAAGCAAAGGGGAACAGGCUCUGUGGCAUCCGUCCUUUGUCCCUGCUGUUUGGAAAGGCGACCUGGGGGCUACGUUCAAGACGACUGGGGGCUGCAGACAAAAACUCGCCUUUCUUGGGCUCGAGGGGCUGGAGGCGGGAGGCUGAGCCUCCAGGGCCCUUGCCGCACCUUCCCCUCCGAGGGGGCUUCUCCCAGGACCAAGAACAUCAGCGACAUUCCCAACCGUACAACGACAACGUUGGUUUAAAAGACAAACAAAAAA